UCCCCUCUAUCCCUACUCGAUUCCCUAUUCUUUCUCCUCUGCUUCCGAACUUCUUCUCCUCUCCUUCUCACACGAUCGGCGCAGAUGCCACCCCGUGCUCUAGAUCUCUCCCUUCCACUCCGAUCGACACCGACCACCUCGAUGAGCCAAUCGUCGCCAGUACAGUUCUCCUUAGCCGGCGAUGCCCUUGUAACCUCAAAGCUACAACAUCGCCUCUCAUCUUCCAUGCGACGCCGACCGUCCGACUCUCUUUUGAACUUGUUGACGCUGGUGCCACUCUGCUAGGUCGCCUCAUCUCCGCCUUCCCAUUCCUAGCCGCGGACAUCAAGCACUCGCCGAAAGUUGAGAACCCGAGCUUCCUUUCUAGCCGUACCCUAGAUCCCUCCAGCUGGCCGCCGACGAUUCAACUCGAGUCGACAUUCUACAGAUUUAUAGCUACGCCCAUGUAAUGUUGGAUUCAUGCCACCACUGUGGACCGACGAUCCCUGAGGCGGUGAGGGCUGUUGGACAGAUUCACCAUCUCCAGAAGAGCUGAGAACUGCUGAUUUGGGUGAUCAACUGAUCUGACUAGAAGGUGAGCGUUGAUUGGGGUGCUGAUUUUGGGGCAUUGAUUGGUUGGACAGCGAUUCCACCUUGUUUCGCUUAGUAUUUCCAGCUUCAACCUCCUCCAACAACGGGUCAAGUGGCUGUGCUACGAAUUUAGGACUUUGGUUUGAGACGAGCAUCUUGAUGUGAGGGUUCUUUCAGAGGCGUAUUAUAUAAAGGCAAGUAUUUCUUCCUUGGUCUCUUUAAUUCUUUGAAUUUAGUGCAUGGUUGCAUUUACUUGAUGGAUUAAGUUACUUUACCUUAAAUCUAUCUUUAUUGUUAUCCUGCUUGAUAUUUAUGCUUGACCUUUGAGAUAAUCUAUUUAUUUUAUAUACAGUCUUAAGAUUUGAAUAUCUAUACUCUGUUGUUAUAUUCACAUGUAGAGUAUGUAUGAUAGGAUACGUUUUGUUGACUGACUUAACAUGCUGAUUAUGCAAAUGGUGUUAUGUGUAUACAUGUUUGGUAUGUGCCAUAAGAGUUAUCAUGUUGACCGUACAUUUAUAUGUUGUAUGUGUACACAUGUCCGGUGUCAUCUAUUGGAGGUUUUAUGUUGAUUGUAUCUAUGUUGUGCGUACAUGUGUCUGAUGUGUACUAUUGGAGGAUCAUGUCGAUAAUAUCUAUGUUAGUGAUUGUAUAUGUUUGGUGUGAUAUUGGAGGUAUUAUGUUGAUUAUACCUACAUUGUAUGUUACGUACGUAUAUGGUGUGUAUGUGUCUGGUGUGUAUGUGUCUGGUGAUGCUACUUACUGUAUUUGAUAUUUAGUAGACACUUGUUGGAUCUACCCAUACCUAUAGAUAUAGGUGUUUGAUGGAUCAUGUACUAGAGGUAUUUAUAAUGGAUUGAGGUGUUGCAUUGAUGAUGAUUCUGUCGAUAUCGUGUCGAUAUCAUGAUUUUUUAUAUCAUGUGUAUCAUUACAUCAUAUGCACACUGACGACCAUUGCUCCCUUGUGGUAUGAGCUAGUUGACAAUCAUGUAUAUAUAUAUGCAUGCUAACGACUAUUGGUCACAUAUGGUAUGAGCUAAUUAUGCGAUCAUUACUCACUUUCGAUAUGAGCUAGUUAUUAGUCAUGUUAGCUGUCAUUCGGCCAGUGUGGGAGAGUGGUACCUUGGAGUGGAGCUAGUCCUAUUGUGCCACCCGGCCACUCAGCGGCUGGAGUAAUAUCCGACCUUAUGAGCAGUCAGGGACCCUAAUGCUAUGUAGUUAGAUAACUACUUAGUGAACUGUUCACCUCGACCGCUAUAUAAUGAUUGGAGGAUAGUACAGUUGUCACAGAUUCAAGUCUCUCGGCCAUACAAGGGUGGUGGUGUCUCGAGAGGUUGUGGGGGUGACCAUGGAGCAUGCAUGCGCAUUUGCAUAUGAUGCACGGUGCAUCUGUGUAGAUAUAUUUGUAUACAUGUCUAGUAGAUACUAGCUACAUGUGAUUGUGAUAUGUUCCACUUGAAUGAGCUAUAUUUGCUGCAUAUGGUUGUCAUGCUUUAUACAUGUCAUUUAUUACACAUGUAUAUGCUACCGGUUAUAUUGCUCAGGUGUUAUGAGCAGAUUAUUGAUGAUCUCUGGUGAGUUUAUUGUUUAUUACACUAUGUAUAUUUGACCGGUUCGGAUAUGUGCAUUUAUUAUUACAUUUAUGUUCUUGACUUUAUAAGUUAAUACCAGAUUGGAUAGGUUCAUUUACUAUGACCAUAUGAUCAUGAUAUUAUGUGUUGAAUCCAGAUUGAGUAUGUACAUUCAUUAUGUCAGUUUAUGAUCAUGUUUUUAGUUCCCUGAUGAGACUGUAUACUUUGAUCUCCAUAUUUUAUUUUGACUAUGCACUAUCUUAUCUAUUACCCGCUGAGUGACUCGUACUCACCACCACAUUUGUGUAUUCUUUUUCCUAAGGUAACAGGUAGAUGAUUAUGGAGUCGCUUGGUGUAUCCUGUCUGCCGAUCUCACGUCACAUCUAAAGACGGUCUUUACUUCACUUUUGUUUUCUUAUGUGUUUUCUUUAUGAUAUUGACAUUGUAUUGGUGUUUAGCCAUGUGGCUUCUUUACCGUUUUUAGUAUUUUGUUUUGUUUAAGAAGUGUCGGCACACAUUGUAUCCUUUUGGUUUGUAUGGGCUUUCCUUUCAUUUUUUUGCAGUGUUUUUAGUAUAGCCAUGUGGGCUGUUUAUUAUACAACUGCGUGGUUAUGAUCAUUUUGUUCCA